rnacentral:lncRNA from 1 species
UAUGUAUGUAUAUAUAUAUAUAUUUGUUUUUGUAGUUAGUUUCUAAGAAUAUUGAAUCUCAUAAUUUUGUAACAGUUAUUAUUUCAAGUUGUCCGAAUUUUACAAGGGAAGAAUAGUAGUUAUGAAUUUUGAAAAAUAUGAGUCUCACUUAGGUAAAAAAAAAAAAAACCUUUUAAGUAGUAAAAUUUUCAAAAAGUUUUUUGGAGUAAAGUUAGCUUUUAAAUGUCGCACAAAAAUCCUCAAAUAACACUUUGAAUUAUUUUCCUAUUUUCAACUAUAAAUCGGUGAAAGUCGACUAUAGAGAUAUAUAUGAAUUCCAUUUAAGCACGGUGCAUGUCGUAUGAAUCAACUUUUCCCAUGCAAGUGAUAGACAACAUUAGGGCUAUCGUUUAAUCGUCAUUUACGAAUUUAUAACUACAAAGGAAAUUCCAUAUAAAUUAAUAUUGAGAAAUGAACUGUGUUUAUUAUUAGUGUAAGAAGCUGACAGUAACCUAAAGUACAAUAAAAAAAUUAUUUGCUGUGUUUAAAAGUGUUAGAGACUUGCUCUUUACUUUAAAAAAUCUAAAAGUAGGUUCAUUUGGAAAAUUUCAGUUUAUGGACAAUAGUUGAAACAAUUCAAGCCUUGAAUUGUUUCAAAUAUGAAACAACAAUUCAAUUGUCAAAACAAUUAGCUUUAGUCUACAUAGCCCAAAGUAUACUCUAUGUUCCCUUUGGAAAUUUAAAAUAGUGUUUUAAACUCAGUUGCUGCAAGACCUCAGUUUUAAUGAAAGAUAAUUUAAUAAAUAUUUUAUUUAAUAUUAGAAAACUUAAAUGAAAUUCAGUUAAAACAUAAAAAUGAUUUAAUGAAAAGAUUUCAUGAAAUUCUUAAUGUUAAGAUUGUAUGCGACUGAGCUUGAAAAUUUCUUUCCUUUCAAAACAAUCUUAAAACAUCCUUUUAAUUUAAUUUAUUCAAAAAUUAUAUGUAAAUAAGUACUAAAGAGAAACAUUGUGAGGUUUCUCACAUGUCUUGUCAUGAAUCACACAAAAAAGUAAAAUUACGGACCUAUGGCAGCAAUUGUUGAAAAUUAUACUAUAAGAAGAUUUUGCUAUUUAAGUCAUUGAUCAAAUUUUGCUGUUUCAGCUGCCCAUAUGUCGGUGUAUGUAAAAAUAAAUAAAUAUGUGUAGCUAUAUAUUGUGUAGCUAUAUAAGUCCUCAAUUUAAACAAAUCUAUUUUGUAAAUUUAAUUUCUUUCAUUUUUCAGCUUCUGCUAGGAAACGCAAGUAUCAAUGUCCAUUUUGCAGUUACUGUGGUGCUUGGAAAUCAGCUUUAAGUAGACACAUCAGAAUGGGGGAAAACCAUUUCCAUGUGAUAUUUGCGGUAAACAUUUUAGUAGGAAAGAUCGUUUGAAAGAGCAUAUGACAUGUUCUCAUCUUAAGAAACAGUUGAAAUCUAUCAACAGAAAAAAAAGAAACUCAUCAUCAGUGUCCUUACUGCAGCUAUUCCAGCUAUUGGACAACCCUCUUAAAGAGACACCUUAGAAUUCACUCUGGGGGAAAAACCCGAUCAGUGUGUCAUUUGCAAGAAAUGUUUUAAAAGACAGUCGAAUUUGCAGCGACAUAUUGUUUCUCAUUCAAAUUAUACAUUUCAACAUAAUUUCAUUCAAUCGUUUUGUUAUUUUUGUGAUAAUCUACUUAACCUUAAAAAUAGGAGACCUUAAUAAUCUAUGAAACCUUCAAUAAAAAGUUUUGUAUGUUGUUUUUUAAAAUAAAAUGUUUUACAUUUC